rnacentral:rRNA from 1 species
AAUAUUGGACAAUGGGCGAAAGCCUGAUCCAGCAAUGCCGCGUGAGUGAUGAAGGCCUUAGGGUUGUAAAGCUCUUUUACCCGGGAUGAUAAUGACAGUACCGGGAGAAUAAGCCCCGGCUAACUCCGUGCCAGCAGCCGCGGUAAUACGUAGGUGUCAAGCGUUGUCCGGAUUUAUUGGGCGUAAAGCGCCCGCAGGCGGCUUGCCAAGUUCGAUGUGAAAUCUCCCGGCUUAACUGGGAGGGUGCAUCGAAAACUGGCAGGCUUGAGGCAGGGAGAGGGAUGUGGAAUUCCAGGUGUAGUGGUGAAAUGCGUAGAUAUCUGGAGGAACACCGGUGGCGAAGGCGGCAUCCUGGACCGACAUUGACGCUGAGGCGCGAAAGCUAGGGGAGCAAAC